rnacentral:rRNA from 1 species
GAGGAAACUUGUGCUAAUACCGGAUAAGUCUUUACGGAGAAAGCUUUAUGCACCAUUGGAUGAGCCUGCACUUGAUUAGUUUGUUGGUGGGGUAAUGGCCUACCAAGACUGUGAUCAAUAGCUGAUUUGAGAGGAUGAUCAGCCACAUUGGGACUGAGACACGGCCCAAACUCCUACGGGAGGCAGCAGUGGGGAAUCUUGCACAAUGGAGGAAACUCUGAUGCAGCGAUGCCGCGUGAGUGAAGAAGGCCCUUGGGUUGUAAAGCUCUUUCGUCGGGGAAGAAAAUGACUGUACCCGAAUAAGAAGGUCCGGC